rnacentral:lncRNA from 1 species
GUACAAGACUUGAGAAAGGUCAACAAGAGGAUAGAAGAUAUUCAUCUGACUGUUCCAAACCCUUACAAUUUGCUCAGUAACUGUUCAUCGAUGAGAAACAGGGGUAUGCUAAAGGGGUCCUAACACAAAGGUUGGGACCCUGAAAACGCCCUGUGGCCUACCUGUCUAAGAAAUUGGACCCUGUGGCCUCCGGCUGGCCACCGUGCCUAAGGAUGGUGGCUGCUAUUGCUGUCCUGAUCAAGGACACUGGAAAAUUGACUUUGGGACAGCCACUCACCAUCCUAACACCCCACGCAGUGGAGGCCUUGGUAAAGCAGCCCCCAGACCGCUGGCUCUCUAAUUCUCGCACCAAGCCUUGUUUCUGGAUACAGAACGGGUUCAGUUUGGGCCCGUAGUCGCCCUCAAUCCUGCCACCUUGCUUCCUCUACCAGAGGAGGCAAAACAGCAUGACUGCCUACAAAUCCUCGCAGAAGUACAUGGAACCAGGCCGGACCUAUCGGACCAGCCUCUUCAGAAUGCUGACCACACAUGGUACACGGAUGACAACAGCUUCUUGGCAGAGGGAGAGUGAAAGGCUGGAGCUGCGGUCACUACGGAGGACAAAGUGAUUUGGGCGAAAGCCCU